AUACGGAGGUUGCAAGCGUUAAUCGGAAUUACUGGGCGUAAAGCGCGCGUAGGCGGUUAUUUAAGUCAGAUGUGAAAUCCCUGGGCUCAACCUAGGAACUGCAUCUGAUACUGGGUAACUAGAGUUUUGGAGAGGUAAGUGGAAUUUCCGGUGUAGCGGUGAAAUGCAUAGAGAUCGGAAGGAACACCAGUGGCGAAGGCGACUUACUGGCCAAAAACUGACGCUGAGGUGCGAAAGCGUGGGUAGCAAACAGGAUUAGAUACCCUAGUAGUCC
rnacentral:rRNA from 1 species